rnacentral:rRNA from 1 species
GACGAACGCUGGCGGCAGGCUUAACACAUGCAAGUCGAGCGCCCCGCAAGGGGAGCGGCAGACGGGUGAGUAACGCGUGGGAACGUACCCUUUGCUACGGAAUAGCUCCGGGAAACUGGAAUUAAUACCGUAUGUGCCCUACGGGGGAAAGAUUUAUCGGCAAAGGAUCGGCCCGCGUUGGAUUAGCUAGUUGGUGGGGUAAUGGCCUACCAAGGCGACGAUCCAUAGCUGGUCUGAGAGGAUGAUCAGCCACAUUGGGACUGAGACACGGCCCAAACUCCUACGGGAGGCAGCAGUGGGGAAUAUUGGACAAUGGGCGCAAGCCUGAUCCAGCCAUGCCGCGUGAGUGAUGAAGGCCUUAGGGUCGUAAAGCUCUUUCACCGGAGAAGAUAAUGACGGUAUCCGGAAAAGAAGCCCCGGCUAACUUCGUGCCAGCAGCCGCGGUAAAAC